UACGUAGGGGGCAAGCGUUAUCCGGAUUUACUGGGUGUAAAGGGAGCGUAGACGGUCCUGCAAGCCAGAUGUGAAAGCCCGGGGCUCAACCCCGGGACUGCAUUUGGAACUGUAAGGCUAGAGUGUCGGAGAGGCAGGCGGAAUUCCUAGUGUAGCGGUGAAAUGCGUAGAUAUUAGGAGGAACACCAGUGGCGAAGGCGGCCUGCUGGACGGUGACUGACGUUGAGGCUCGAAAGCGUGGGGAGCAAACAGG
rnacentral:rRNA from 1 species